rnacentral:rRNA from 1 species
AUUGAACGCUGGCGGCAUGCCUUACACAUGCAAGUCGAACGGCAGCACGGGGGCAACCCUGGUGGCGAGUGGCGAACGGGUGAGUAACAUAUCGGAACGUGCCCUGGAGUGGGGGAUAACUAGUCGAAAGACUAGCUAAUACCGCAUACGAUCUACGGAUGAAAGGUGGGGGAUCGCAAGACCUCAUGCUCGUGGAGCGGCCGAUAUCUGAUUAGCUAGUUGGGGGGUAGAGGCCUACCAAGGCAUCGAUCAGUAGCUGGUCUGAGAGGACGACCAGCCACACUGGGACUGAGACACGGCCCAGACUCCUACGGGAGGCAGCAGUGGGAAUUUUGGACAAUGGGCGCAAGCCUGAUCCAGCAAUGCCGCGUGAGUGAAGAAGGCCUGG